GUGGUGGGUCAAUGGUUAAAAUAUUGCUUUCAAAACCCAAAGGUUCCGGGUUCGAUCUCGGCCACG